rnacentral:ncRNA from 1 species
GUCCAUAUCGACGGCAUGGUUUGGCACCUCGAUGUCGGCUCGUCGCAUCCUGGGGCUGGAGUAGGUCCCAAGGGUUGGGCUGUUCGCCCAUUAAAGCGGUACGCGAGCUGGGUUUAGAACGUCGUGAGACAGUUCGGUCCCUAUCCGCUGCGCGCGCAGGAAAUUUGAGAAGAGCUGUCCUUAGUACGAGAGGACCGGGACGGACGAACCUCUGGUGUGUCAGUUGUACUGCCAAGUGCACCGCUGAUUAGCUACGUUCGGAAGGGAUAACCGCUGAAAGCAUCUAAGCGGGAAGCCCACUUCGAGAUGAGAUUUCCAUACACUUUUGAGUGUGAGAGGCCCCCAGCCAGACCACUGGGUUGAUAGGCAGGAUGUGGAAGCGAGGACUAAAGACUCGUGAAGCUGACCUGUACUAAUAGGCCGACAACUUAAACCAC